ACAACCGUGAUUCCGUGAGUAGUGGCGAGCGAAAGCGGAUCUAGCCUAAACCUUGCGUGUGUGAUACCUGUCAGGGGUUGCGCGUGGGGGGUUGUGGGACCUGCUUAUCAGGACUGACAUUCUGGUGAAGAGUUACAAAGUUUCAUGCUAGUCGAACGACGUGGGAAAGUCGGCCGUAGACGGUGAGAGCCCGGUAGACGAAAGUGUGUGACCUCUUUGCAGUGUUCCCGAGUAGCAGCGGACUCCUAGAAUCUGCUGUGAAUCUGCCAGGACCACCUGGUAAGGCUGAAUACUUCCUGGUGACCGAUAGCGGACAAGUACCGU
rnacentral:ncRNA from 1 species